GCCCCGAUAGCUCAGCUGGAUAGAGCGCAUCCCUCCUAAGGAUGAAGUCGUAGGUUCGACUCCUACUCGGGGCACCA
rnacentral:tRNA from 1 species